rnacentral:rRNA from 1 species
UACGAAGGGGGCUAGCGUUGCUCGGAAUUACUGGGCGUAAAGCGCGUGUAGGUGGCAAGGCAAGUCGGGUGUGAAAGCCCUGGGCUCAACCCAGGAAGUGCACUCGAUACUGCCUCGCUAGAGUCCCGGAGAGGUUGGUGGAACUCUCGGUGUAGCGGUGAAAUGCGCAGAUAUCAGGAAGAACACCCGUGGCGAAGGCGGUUCUCUGGGACGGUACUGACGCUGAGACGCGAAAGCGUGGGGAGCGAACAGG